CAAGAGCGUAUAUUAAAGUUGUUGCAGUUAAAAAGCUCGUAGUUGGAUUUCUGGUCAAAUGCGCCUGGCCCGCGGCCGUAAGGUCUGUGAGUGCCGGUGCGCGUUUACCAUCCUUCUAGAAAACGUUUCUACCUUUUACUAGGCCGGACUCGCGAUCUAGAUCUUUUACUUUGAAAAAAUUAGAGUGUUUAAAGCAGGCUUUUGCUAUGAAUACAUUAGCAUGGAAUAAUAAUCUAGGACUUCGGUUCUAUUUUGUGGUUUCUAGUACUGAAGUAAUGAUUGAUAGGGAUAGUUGGGGGUGCUAGUAUUGGCCGGCCAGAGGUGAAAUUUCUUGGAUUCGGUCAAGACUAACUUAUGCGAAAGCAUUCACCAAGGAUGUCUUCUUUAAUCAAGAACGAAAGUAAGGGGAUCGAAGAUGAUUAGAUAC
rnacentral:rRNA from 1 species